rnacentral:lncRNA from 1 species
GGAGAGACGAGGGCAGCGGAGGAGGCGAGGAGCGCCGGGUACCGGGCCGGGGGAGCCGCGGGCUCUCGGGGAAGAGACGGAUGAUGAACAAGCUUUACAUCGGGAACCUGAGCCCCGCCGUCACCGCCGACGACCUCCGGCAGCUCUUUGGGGACAGGAAGCUGCCCCUGGCGGGACAGGUCCUGCUGAAGUCCGGCUACGCCUUCGUGGAUACCCCGACCAGAACUGGGCCAUCCGCGCCAUCGAGACCCUCUCGGGUAAAGUGGAAUUGCAUGGGAAAAUCAUGGAAGUUGAUUACUCAGUCUCUAAAAAGCUA